UGGCUAGCAUUCAGGAAACCUUUGCUCUUCCAGUAGCGUGGUGACUUUCCAUAGUGCUAGUACGAUCUAUGCAUGCCAUUGGAGGCGGAAAUCAUUAAUCAGUCCUGUCUGGAUGUGGUCCCUGGGAUCUUUAACAAUGACUCUCAUGGGAAGAUAUGCCCACUGGUACACAGGUGGCAGAAAUGUUAUAGAAGUAUCCAACCGCUUUCUGGUUGGAUUGAAGACCUUCUUCAAAUGAUUGAACCCUCAUAUGUCACCGUUUUCAGGCACAAGAAUCUGAGACCAGGCAGGUCUAAGGCCGUAGAGGAAAAAAAGCUGGUACUGUGAUUCUGUUAAAAGGACAUUAUAUGAAACCCAGCUCAUAUCACUAUACCCAAAAUCAAAUAAUCUCUCAACGAUCAUCAGAGACACUUCCUUGCGCGGCACAUGGAAGGUGACACAGUGGCUGGCUAGCGGUCUGUGUUUAGAGAGGAAGAGACUGUAGAGCGCUAGGCCUAAACAUGACAUACUACUGGUGGCUGCAGUAGUACAGAACGGGGGAGGGCCUGAGAGGAGAAUGGGAAGGACACUGUCUGAAUUCUCAAACUAUCAAUAAAAUAUGAUCUUAAAACAGAAAAA